CCUACGGGAGGCAGCAGUGAGGAAUAUUGGUCAAUGGACGAGAGUCUGAACCAGCCACGUAGCGUGAAGGAUGACUGCCCUCUGGGUUGUAAACUUCUUUUAUAUGGGAAUAAAAUGUUCCACGUGUGGGAUUUUGUAUGUACCAUAUGCAUAAGGAUCGGCUAACUCCGUGCCAGCAGCCGCGGUAAUACGGAGGAUCCGAGCGUUAUCCGGAUUUAUUGGGUUUAAAGGGAGCGUAGGUGGAUUGUUAAGUCAGUUGUGAAAGUUUGCGGCUCAACCAUAAAAUUGCAGUUGAAACUGGCAGUCUUGAGUACAGUAGAGGUGGGCGGAAUUCGGGGUGUAGCGGUGAAAUGCUUAGAUAUUACGAAGAACUCCGAUGGCGAAGGCAGUUCACUGGACUGCAACUGACACUGAGGCUCGAAAGUGUGGGUAUCAAACAGGAUUAGAUACCCCAGUAGUC
rnacentral:rRNA from 1 species